UACGGAGGGGGCUAGCGUUGUUCGGAAUUACUGGGCGUAAAGCGCACGUAGGCGGUACUGUUAAGUCAGGGGUGAAAUCCUGGAGCUCAACUCCAGAACUGCCUUUGAUACUGGGGAUCUCGAGUCCGGAAGAGGUGGAGUGGAACUCCGAGUGUAGAGGUGAAAAUUCGUAGAUAUUCGGAAGAACACCGAAGUGGCGAAGGCGGCUCACUGGUCCGGUACUGGACGCUGAGGUGCGAAAGCGAUGGGGAGCAAACAGGG
rnacentral:rRNA from 1 species